rnacentral:rRNA from 1 species
GUACGGAGGGGGUUAGCGUUGUUCGGAAUUACUGGGCGUAAAGCGCACGUAGGCGGAUUGGAAAGUUGGGGGUGAAAUCCCAGGGCUCAACCCUGGAACUGCCUCCAAAACUAACAGUCUAGAGUUCGAGAGAGGUGAGUGGAAUUCCAAGUGUAGAGGUGAAAUUCGUAGAUAUUUGGAGGAACACCAGUGGCGAAGGCGGCUCACUGGCUCGAUACUGACGCUGAGGUGCGAAAGCGUGGGGAGCGAACAGGAUUAGAAACCCCAGUAGUCC